rnacentral:rRNA from 1 species
GACGAACGCUGGCGGCGUGCCUAAUACAUGCAAGUCGAGCGAACUCUGGUUUUUGAUUGACGGUGCUUGCACCUGAUUGAUUAAACAUUUGAGUGAGUGGCGAACUGGUGAGUAACACGUAGGAAACCUGCCCAGAAGCGGGGGGAUAACACCUGGAAACAGAUGCUAAUACCGCAUAACAACUUGAACCGCAUGGUUCGAGUUUGAAAGAUGGCUCUGCUAUCACUUCUGGAUGGUCCUGCGGCGUAUUAGCUAGAUGGUGAGGUAACGGCUCACCAUGGCAAUGAUACGUAGCCGGCCUGAGAGGGUAAUCGGCCACAUUGGGACUGAGACACGGCCCAAACUCCUACGGGAGGCAGCAGUAGGGAAUCUUCCACAAUGGACGAAAGUCUGAUGGAGCAACGCCGCGUGAGUGAAGAAGGGUUUCGGCUCGUAAAACUCUGUUGUUAGAGAAGAACAUAUCUGAGAGUAACUGUUCAGGUAUUGACGGUAUCUAACCAGAAAGCCACGGCUAACUACGUGCCAGCCGCCGCGUAGA